rnacentral:rRNA from 1 species
UACGUAGGGUGCGAGCGUUGUCCGGAAUUAUUGGGCGUAAAGGGCUCGUAGGCGGUUUGUCGCGUCGGGAGUGAAAUCCACUGGCUUAACUGGUGGCUUGCUUUCGAUACGGGCAGACUGGAGGUAUGCAGGGGAGAACGGAAUUCCUGGUGUAGCGGUGAAAUGCGCAGAUAUCAGGAGGAACACCGAUGGCGAAGGCAGGUCUCUGGGCCGCAACUGACGCUGAGGAGCGAAAGCAUGGGGAGCGAACAGG